CUGCCCUGCCGGCGGCCUGCAUCGGUGGUCCCCGUGGGGGCAGGUCAGGCCCAGUCCCUCCGGGCGGGAAGGCAAGGCCCAUGUUAGCUACCCCGCGUGCUCUGCCAGGAAGAGCUUUCUGAGCAAGAAAGAGCCAAGCCAGGGCCAGGGGUGUGUGGUGGCAGGCUUCCUCCAUCUGGAGGCCCGGCCAGCAGGGUGGUAGGAAAGAGCCUGUGCUUGGGGCUGCUCCGUGCUCUGCCGGCUGUCACAUUCGGGGCAAAUUGCUUCUCUUCUGUGAGCCUCUGUUUUUCUGGCCUCCGACACGGAGCUGAUGAUGGCGCUGUGCCCCCUGCCCUGGGAGUGCUGUGGCAGCAUGUGGUCAGGGCGGGCCUGGCCCCCUGUGGGCCCGCACGGGGACCCCCCAUCCUGGCCUCUCUGGGCACCGUGCCCCUCAGGGAGCAGAACAAACAGGGCCUGGCAGUGGCAGCCGGGGCGGCCUCUUUUGAGUGAGGGAGGGACAGGACCGAAGGGUCGAAGACGGGCGUGACGCAGGCAGGAGUGACAGGGCCAAAGGCUGUGGAGGGGGGUCACAGGGCAGGGGACGCAAAGCCCGCGGCACAGGGCCCGGCAGUGGGUAAGCGCUCUGAGUCGGAGGCGUUGUGCAUGGGGGGUGGCGGGUGCUGUCUCUUCAGCAGGGGGCAGGCUGGCCGGGCAGGCGGGUGCCCGCUGCACCCGACUCCCCAUGCCCCGCGCUCUAGGGGGACAGAUGCCCUUUGGUAUUGGGUGUCCCCAGACACUGGGCUGUGCGCCCGGCCCCAGCCAAGUUUGCUGUUUCCACGGAAGGGGCCUCUCGGGUGAGGACUCCAGGCAGGACAAGCGGGGGGCUUAGAGCCAUGGACAGCCACCGGGCUCUCCAACAUGGCGGGGGGAUGUUGGGGAGGGGUCUGGCCCUGGCCACCCUGCUGGAGGGAGCCCUCCACGCUGAGGCCCCUGCAGCAGGCAGCCCACAUCAGGGCAGACAGGAGGGCUGUGUGCUCCGUGGGGAAGGAGCCGCGGAGACCUGCGCCUGGCCUUGCCGAGGCAGCCGCUCACCUCAGGCCCCUCCUGUGCGGAGAACUCAGGCGCUCUGAACAAUAGCCCGCCCUCCGCCAAGCUCUUCAAGGCCAAGGUGCUGUUCUGAGUGCUGGAAGCAGAGGGGGCUCUACCUCCUUUCACCUGCCCCGACCCCACCGGAGGAAGGAGCCUCCCAGCAGCAACGUUUCCCCGUCUGAGCCAGGCGGCAGGCAGCCCAGGAGGUUCCGUGCCAGGGCCCAGGCGACAUGCCUCCUGAGGGGUGGAGCAGGGGUGUCCCGGCAUCAGGCCUCUGUGGUGCUGCCCACGUGGGGCCGUUUGGUAUAAACCGAGGAUGUCCGUGGAGUGCCGACCCUGGCACCAGCAGGAAGGGGCGCUCGUCAAAGGGAGUUCAGAGGCAUUUCCAUCUAGAGCAGUAGUUCCCACAGGGCCUGCGGUUUCCUGGGGCGAGUCAGAACCACCUGGGCCCUGGGCCCAGGACUCCUGGCCCUGCCCGCCAUUCUCACGUGGUGGACCACGGACCGCACCGUGAGGAAGCCCCCCCUUUCCCGCUUCGACCGCAGCACCUCCUCUUUGCUCUGUGUUAUGUACGGCAUGGCCAUUCCGUGUGUGAGUCUGUGUCGCCCGACAGGAAAUUCCAUGUCUAGUUCUAUGAAAGGCGAAGGCUGACGUCACGCCCAGCGCCCCUCACCCCAACUCCCACUUCAGCCCCACAGCCCUGCUGCAGCCUCAGCCGUGAAGGGUGAGCUUUGCGUGGCCCCCGCAGCCCAGCCCGCCACCUCACGGUGUGACCUCGAGCCGGCUCUGGGAGCUCUCCUACCUCAGUUUCCUCAUCUGCCAGUGUGGAGAAUAAUCCCCCCUCCCUUGGGGGGUCGUUGUGAGGAUUAAUCAAGUUAAUCUUUGGAAAGUGCUCAGAAUAAAGGUGCCUGGCACCAAACGUUA